rnacentral:lncRNA from 1 species
CACUAUUUGAUGGUUUCUAGAUUAUGUUGGCAUAGAAGUGGAGGAGUCCUUCUGCUUGAAGGCUCUUCCACACUUAGAGCUUCUAUAUAAGAAAUUUAUUCCUUAUGGAAACUAAGGGACGACACAUUGGAUGUGUUUGCACCAAAACAUUUAUUUUUCUCCCUUAAGCCUCUUAAUUAUUACACAUCAAUUUUUUUGGGACC